AAAAAAACAGCGUAUCAGGAAUUAGGAAUACAAAAUCAAAACCCUGUGGCUUUUACUCUAAGGAGAUGUGGUAAAGCAAAAGUGGCCAAGAAUUCUUUACAGCUUCUCUCACAGAGAGAGAGGGUCUCUUCCCCAACCCUUGGACUCUGGGCCAGCCUUGUGACCUGCUUUGGCCAACAGAAGGUAGCGAAAAAUGAUGUAGGAUUUCUUGGCCUGAGCCUUAAGAGGCCUUCUUCUUCCAUUCCCAUUCCCAGAAUCAGAGACUGCCACGUGAAGAAGGCAGCAGCUGCCUUUUGGAGACAUAGGGCUGAGACCAUAACCAGCCUCAACUGCCAACAAUAUGAAAAGUUUUGUGUUCAGGAAUUGUGGCUUCUAAACUGGAUCGUCUUGAUGACAAUCUGUGGGCAAGUGUGGGCUCUUGGCGUCGGGUUUCUCCCCUCAACAGCAAAGUGUCCCCUUCUGGAGGUGAAACCAGGGUACGCCAUUCCCUGAAGAAUCGCUGGCUUGCAGAGAAGAGGUAGAGGAAUGCCAAGGGAAGCUGAGGGAAAAAACCACAAAGAGAACAGAAUUGGGAAAAUCUGGUAAGUUGGAAGCUAAGUGAGGAAAUUAUUUCUAGAAAAAAAUUAAUUUGUUCAAAUUCAGCUAGGGAUGUAAUGAAAUAAAGUCCUAGGACUGACCA
rnacentral:lncRNA from 1 species